rnacentral:misc_RNA from 1 species
GAUGAAGAACGUAGCGAAACGCGAAAGUUAAUGCGAAUUGCAGAAUCAGUGAGUCAUCGAGUUUUUGAACGCACAUUGCGCCUCUUGGUAUUCCAGGAGACACGCCUGUUCGAGCGCCAUUACAAACUCCAAGCCGCUGCUUGAUGUUGGACGGUGUCCGGAGAGGGACACGUCUGGAACGCGUUGGCGCCGCCGGCGGACCACGAGCGUAGCAAGACGAAAGUCAAUCGUUCGGUUUUGGAUUCCGUCGGUGGCGGCCUGCCGCGCACCGUGAGAUCGCACGACGUCACGGUGCUCACCCACACAAAGUUUGGCCUCGGAUCAGGCGGGGAUACCCGCUGAACUUAAGCAUAUCAAUAAGCGGAGGA